GUACUACAUACGGGAUCAGUAACAGGUGAGUACUACAUACAGCAUCGGUAACAGAUACAUACUACAUACAGCAUAAUUAACAGGUGAGUACUACAUACAGGAUCAGUAACAGGUGAGUACUGCAUACAGGAUCAGUAAAAGGUGAGUACAACAUACAGGAUCAUGAUUAAAGGUGAGUAUUAAAUACAGGAUCAGUAAAAGGUGAGUACUACAUACAGGAUCAGUAACAGGUGAGUACUACAUACAGGAUCAGGAACAGGUGAGUACUACAUACAGGAUCAUGAUUAAAUCUGAGUAUUAAAUACAGGAUCAGUAAAAGGUGAGUACUACAUACAGGAUCAGUAACAGGUGAGUACUACAUACAGUAUCAGUAACAGGUGAGUAUUACAUACAGGAUCAGUAACAGGUGAGUAUUACAUACAGUAUCAGUAACAGAUACGUACUAUAUUCAGCAUCAGUAACAGGUGAGUACUACAUAUGGGAUCAGUAACAGAUACAUACUACAUACAGCAUAAUUAACAGGUGAGUACUACAUACGGGAUCAGUAACAGGUGAGUAUUACAUACAGUAUCAGUAACAGGUGAGUACUACAUACAGGACCAGUAACAGGUGAGUACUACAUACAGGAUCAGUAACAGGUGAGUAUUACAUACAGG
rnacentral:lncRNA from 1 species